ACGGGUGCGUAACACGUGGGAAUAUACCUUUCGGUACGGAACAACUGCGGGAAACUGCAGCUAAUACCGUAUACGUCCUAGCGGAGAAAGAUUUAUCGCCGAAGGAUUAGCCCGCGUUCGAUUAGCUAGUUGGUGGGGUAAUGGCCCACCAAGGCGACGAUCGAUAGCUGUUCUGAGAGGAAGAUCAGCCACACUGGGACUGAGACACGGCCCAGACUCCUACGGGAGGCAGCAGUUGGGAAUCUUGGACAAUGGGGGAAACCCUGAUCCAGCCAUGCCGCGUGAGUGAUGAAGGCCUUCGGGUUGUAAAACUCUUUCGACGGGGACGAUAAUGACGGUACCCGUAGAAGAAGCUCCGGCUAACUUCGUGCCAGCAGCCGCGGUAAUACGAAGGGGGCUAGCGUUGUUCGGAAUUACUGGGCGUAAAGCGCGCGCAGGCGGCUAUCCAAGUCAGUGGUGAAAGCCCGGAGCUCAACUCCGGAACUGCCAUUGAAACUGUUUAGCUUGAGGACGAGAGAGGUGAGUGGAAUUCCCAGU
rnacentral:rRNA from 1 species